AUGUUCUCAGCUCACUUCCUGGUAGUGCCGCAAUGCAUGCUUACAGCGACCAUGUGUCUGCUACAUACUGGCAUGUCGGAUACAGGGUAGACGGGGCCCGCCUAGGAGUGCAUGGCAGAGCAGCUCACCUUCACAUAUUGGAUGUACUAAUGCAACUUUAUGUUUUGGAUGUGAAAAAACCCCCAGAUAAAUUAGAUCUCACUAUCACACAGAAAUACACAUAGACACAGCAGUCAGCCACGCAGAGGCAUUUGUUCACAGAUUAAGAUAGUCACACUAUAGACACACCUAUUCACAGUAACAUAAGCAACAAAUUCAGGCACACACCGGUGGCAGAAUUAAUGUAGAUACUUCAACGCUAGCUGGGGAUCUAUCUACCGUUUCUCCAUCUUUGGAAUAUUGUAUUUUUGUGCGUUUGAAUGUACACCUUUUUGUAUGGAGUAUGUGAAUGCAGACGUUUAUUUGUAUGUACUGUUGCCAUUUGAAGGCAGUGGUGUGUUUGUAUGUAGUGUUGACCGCACGCGUGCAUUUGCAUGUAGCUUUGGUGGUUGAAUUUGGUGUUGGCAUUUGACUGCAGUGGUGUAUUAUCAAGCCACUCUGGGGAGAUCUCAAACGUGCGGUUCACGCAAGACGACCAAAGACUAUACAUGUCCUGGAGGCAUUUUGCCAUGACGAAUGGGCAGCUUUACCACCUGCAAGAAUUUGGGGCCCUCAUAAACAACAAUUACAAAACACUGCUCUCUGUCAUUGAUGCUAAAGGGAGCAAUGCACAGUAUUAAGAACUAUGGGUAUGCAAACUUUUGAAUGGGGGUCAUUUCAUUUUUUUCUUUGUUGCCAUGUUUUGUUAUAUGAUGGUGCCAUUCUGUUAUAACAUACUGUUGAAUAUAAA